rnacentral:rRNA from 1 species
AAUCAACGCUGGCGGCGUGCCUAACACAUGCAAGUCGAACGAGAAAGUGGAGCAAUCCAUGAGUACAGUGGCGACCGGGUGAGUAACACGUGACUACCUACCCUUGAGUGGGGGAUAACCUCGGGAACCGAGGCUAAUACCGCAUAAUAUCGAGAGAUCCAAAGGAGCAAUCCGCUCUUGGAGGGGGUCGCGGCUGAUUAGCUAGUUGGUGAGGUAAUGGCNCACCAAGGCGAAGAUCGGUAUCCGGCCUGAGAGGGCGCACGGGACACACUGGAACUGAAACACGGUCCAGACUCCUACGGGAGGCAGGCAGUGGGGAAUUUGCGCAAUGGGGGAAACCCUGACGCAGCAACGCCGCGUGAGGAUGAAGCUCCUUGGAGUGU